rnacentral:rRNA from 1 species
GACGAACGCUGGCGGCGUGCUUAACACAUGCAAGUCGAACGGAAAGGCCCUGCUUUUGUGGGGUGCUCGAGUGGCGAACGGGUGAGUAACACGUGAGUAACCUGCCCUUGACUUUGGGAUAACUUCAGGAAACUGGGGCUAAUACCGGAUAGGAUCUCCUGCUGCAUGGUGGGGGUUGGAAAGUUUCGGCGGUUGGGGAUGGACUCGCGGCUUAUCAGCUUGUUGGUGGGGUAGUGGCUUACCAAGGCUUUGACGGGUAGCCGGCCUGAGAGGGUUACCGGCCACAUUGGGCCUGAGAUACGGCCCAGACUCCUACGGGAGGCAGCAGGGGGAAAUAUUGCACAAUGGGCGGAAGCCUGAUGCAGCAACGCCGCGUGCGGGAUGACGGCCUUCGGGUUGUAAACCGCUUUCGCCUGUGACGAAGCGUGAGUGACGGUAAUGGGUAAAGAAGCACCGGCUAACUACGUG